rnacentral:rRNA from 1 species
ACUCCUACGGGAGGCAGCAGUGGGGAAUUUUGGACAAUGGGCGAAAGCCUGAUCCAGCCAUGCCGCGUGCAGGAUGAAGGCCUUCGGGUUGUAAACUGUCUUUGUACGGAACGAAAAGACUCUGGUUAAUACCUGGGGUCCAUGACGGUACCGUAAGAAUAAGCACCGGCUAACUACGUGCCAGCAGCCGCGGUAAUACGUAGGUGCAAGCGUUAAUCGGAAUUACUGGGCGUAAAGCGUGCGCAGGCGGUUAUAUAAGACAGAUGUGAAAUCCCCCGGGCUCAACCUGGGAACUGCAUUUGUGACUGUAUAGCUAGAGUACGGCAGAGGGGAUGGAAUUCCGCGUGUAGCAGUGAAAUGCGUAGAUAUGCGGAGGAACACCGAUGGCGAAGGCAAUCCCCUGGGCCUGUACUGACGCUCAUGCACGAAAGCGUGGGAGCAAACAGGAUUAGAUA